rnacentral:rRNA from 1 species
UACGAAGGGGGCUAGCGUUGCUCGGAAUCACUGGGCGUAAAGCGCACGUAGGCGGAUUUCUAAGUCAGGGGUGAAAUCCUGGAGCUCAACUCCAGAACUGCCUUUGAUACUGGGAAUCUCGAGUCCGGGAGAGGUGAGUGGAACUGCGAGUGUAGAGGUGAAAUUCGUAGAUAUUCGCAAGAACACCAGUGGCGAAGGCGGCUCACUGGCCCGGUACUGACGCUGAGACGCGAAAGCGUGGGGAGCAAACAGG